AGCCGCCACCGCCGAGCCAGGCCGUUCCCUGCCGCCGCUCCUGCGCCUGAGGAGAGCGGCGAGGGGGCGGCGGCGCGGCUCACUUCACCUCAGCUUGGCGGGCGACGGUCAGACCCUCCCCGCCCGGGAGGAACGCGCCACUUACCCGCCGAGCCUCCGGCGACGAUUUGCCCUAGAGCAUUAACACAGACAAGAUAUUAAUUUUGAAUCAGAAAUCCUUCACAUUAUCUUCAAAGUGAUUCUGAAUUCUGAAUACCAUGUGUGAUCUCAAGCAUCUUGAAAUAGAACUAGGAGGCUAGAUUUGCUGUCACCUCUUCAAAAGAGAAGGAAAAGAAAGGCAUUUCUGGGAAUCAUUCAUCAAACCUUUCCAAACACGUUUUCCUGUUUUGAGAAUGGAUUGCAGGUGCCAUAGUAUUUGGAAGCAAAAUCUUCAUAAAAGUGUCUUUGGAAAAGCAUUUUCAUGCAGUUGUUAAUACUGUUCUGGUAUGUUUGUUUACAGAGUGCCUGGGAGUAUUUUGGGAUAAGUUAGCAACAAAUGUUGCUAACUGAAUAGAGGUUCCACACUUGAAAAGAAAUGUAGCCUUUGGUAAUUUAGUACAAAGAUUAGAGAAGAACAAUGUUUUUAUUGCUACUGAAAAGUAGGGGAACACAGGAAAGACUUGGAGACGUGUUAAUAAAGUGUUAAGACUGAGACCAUAAUUUCAAAAGAAUAAUAUUCAGCUAUAAAAAUCAGUUAUAUAAUUUGCAUGGAUCAGCAAAUAAACAGUAACUUGAAUUCUUUGAUCUAUGUAUGAGCAGAGUGGGGAUUGCUGUGGGAAUACAGAAUAACUCCCUUAAAUUAAUAAACAUCGAAUGUGCUGACCUUUAAGUAAUUAAAAUCUCAACUUCAAUGUUUCAUUAACAUUUGCAUUAGAUCCCUUGGUUUGGCUCUUUGAGACUGCUGCUCAAUAAAUAUAGCAGGAUCAUCAAGUCUCCAGUGUUCUGUAUCAUCAAAAAGCAGAUGCUGAAACAUCACUACUUUUUUGUUCCAGAGAUCCCUGCGCAAUGUUCCCUUUGAUGCAAAUAGCAAAUCUAGUGUUAAGGCGGACUUGCUGCAGUAGUUCAACAGUAAACAGAAUUUGGAGUUGAUCAGAGGGU